rnacentral:rRNA from 1 species
ACGCUGGCGGCACGCCUAACACAUGCAAGUCGAACGAAGUAGCAAUACUUAGUGGCAGACGGGUGAGUAACAUGUAGGUAUCUGCCCUUUGGCCUGGAAUAACACGAGGAAACUUGUGCUAAUACCGGAUAAGUCUUUACGGAGAAAGCUUUAUGCACCAUUGGAUGAGCCUGCACUUGAUUAGUUUGUUGGUGGGGUAAUGGCCUACCAAGACUGUGAUCAAUAGCUGAUUUGAGAGGAUGAUCAGCCACAUUGGGACUGAGACACGGCCCAAACUCCUACGGGAGGCAGCAGUGGGGAAUCUUGCACAAUGGAGGAAACUCUGAUGCAGCGAUGCCGCGUGAGUGAAGAAGGCCCUUGGGUUGUAAAGCUCUUUCGUCGGGGAAGAAAAUGACUGUACCCGAAUAAGAAGGUCCGGCUAACUUCGUGCCAGCAGCCGCGGUAAUACGAAGGGACCUAGCGUAGUUCGGAAUUACUGGGCUUAAAGAGUUCGUAGGUGGUUGAAAAAGUUAGUGGUGAAAUCCCAGAGCUUAACUCUGGAACUGCCAUUAAAACUUUUCAGCUAGAGUAUGAUAGAGGAAAGCAGAAUUUCUAGUGUAGAGGUGAAAUUCGUAGAUAUUAGAAAGAAUACCAAUUGCGAAGGCAGCUUUCUGGAUCAUUACUGACACUGAGGAACGAAAGCAUGGGUAGCGAAGAGGAUUAGAUACCCUCGUAGUCCAUGCCGUAAACGAUGUGUGUUAGACGUUGGAAAUUUAUUUUCAGUGUCGCAGCGAAAGCGAUAAACACACCGCCUGGGGAGUACGACCGCAAGGUUAAAACUCAAAUGAAUUGACGGGGACCCGCACAAGUAGUGGAGCAUGUGGCUUAAUUCGAAGAUACGCGCAGAACCUUACCAACACUUGACAUGUUCGUCGCGACUCUAAGAGAUUAGAGUUUUCGGUUCGGCCGGACGAAACACAGGUGCUGCAUGGCUGUCGUCAGCUCGUGUCGUGAGAUGUUGGGUUAAGUCCCGCAACGAGCGCAACCCUCACUUUUAGUUGCCAUCAUUAAGUUGGGCACUCUGAAAGAACUGCCAGUGAUAAGCUGGAGGAAGGUGGGGAUGACGUCAAGUCCUCAUGGCCCUUACGUGUUGGGCUACACACGUGCUACAAUGGUAUCUACAACAGGAAGCAAGACUGCGAGGUCAAGCAAAUCCUUAAAAGAUACCUCAGUUCGGAUUGCACUCUGCAACUCGAGUGCGUGAAGCUGGAAUUACUAGUAAUCGUGGAUCAGCGUGCCACGGUGAAUGCGUUCCCGGGUCUUGUACACACCGCCCGUCACACCAUGGGAGUUGGUUCUACCUUAAGGCAAGGUUUAAAACCCUUGACCACGGUAUAGUCAGCGACUGGGGUG